CUGACCUCGAUGAGAUCAUCAUGCCAGUAGAUGGGAUUGAACUCCAUCUAGUGUUUGGAGACAUCACUAAUGAGACUACUGAUGCCAUCGUGAACACCACUGACUUUAAGGACUUCCAGACAGCUGGAGUGUGUAAGGACAUCCUUACUAAGGCAGGACCUCAAAUCCAGGCUCAACUGACAGGCGCUCAGGUAGCAAGAGGGCAGAUCUUUACGACCCCGC
rnacentral:lncRNA from 1 species